GCUCCGCUACCAUUGGAGAGCGACGGUGUGUGAAGAGCGAGUGAACCACCUUCCGACCAGCUGCUGAUGGUGUUGCUGUCGCUGGCCCACCGGGGGGCCAUCAUCUCGCCGCAUUUCGGAUGGUUGCAGUCGUGGGUUCCUGGUUAGGCAGGUGCGCAGUGGCGGCGACGGCGAGGUCGUGGCGGGGGAGAGGUAAGCCGUUUGCGUGCGUGAGGAAGGGGAUGCGGGGUGGAGAAGAGAGGGGGAUAGAUCUAACUUAUGUGGGUGUACAGAGAACCUUUAGUGGGAGGGAGCGGGAGGACGUGGGUGCGUGUGCGUGAUGGGCUGG
rnacentral:lncRNA from 1 species